rnacentral:rRNA from 1 species
UACGUAGGGGGCAAGCGUUGUCCGGAUUUAUUGGGCGUAAAGAGCGUGUAGGCGGCUAGAUAGGUCCGUUGUGAAAACUCGAGGCUCAACCUCGAGACGUCGAUGGAAACCAUCUGGCUAGAGUCCGGAAGAGGAGAGUGGAAUUCCUGGUGUAGCGGUGAAAUGCGUAGAUAUCAGGAGGAACACCAGUGGCGAAGGCGGCUUUCUGGACGGUGACUGACGCUGAGACGCGAAAGCGUGGGGAGCAAACAGG